rnacentral:rRNA from 1 species
UGAGGAAUAUUGGACAAUGGGCGCAAGCCUGAUCCAGCCAUGCCGCGUGCAGGAAGAAGCAUCUAUGGUGUGUAAACUGCUUUUGUACGGGAAGAAACACUCCUACGUGUAGGAGUUUGACGGUACCGUAAGAAUAAGGAUCGGCUAACUCCGUGCCAGCAGCCGCCGUAAUACGGAGGAUCCAAGCGUUAUCCGGAAUCAUCGGGUUUAAAGGGUCCGUAGGCGGUUUAAUAAGUCAGUGGUGAAAGCGCAUCGCUCAACGAUGGAACGGCCAUUGAUACUGUUAGACUUGAGUUACAAGGACGUAACUAGCAUAUGUAGUGUAGCGGUGAAAUGCUUAGAUAUUACACGGAAUACCAAUUGCGAAGGCAGGUUACUACUUGUGGAUUUACGCUGAUGAACGAUGGCGUGGAGAGCGAA